rnacentral:rRNA from 1 species
UACGGGGGGAGCAAGCGUUGUUCGGAUUUACUGGGCGUAAAGGGCGCGUAGGCGGUCGUGACAAGUCACUUGUGAAAUCUCCGGGCUUAACUCGGAACGGUCAAGUGAUACUGUCGGACUAGAGUACAGAAGGGGCAACUGGAAUUCUCGGUGUAGCGGUGAAAUGCGUAGAUAUCUGGAGGAAUACCGGUGGCGAAGGCGGCAUCCUGGACCGACAUUGACGCUGAACGGCGAAAGCUAGGGGAGCAAACGGG